rnacentral:hammerhead_ribozyme from 1 species
AUCCAGAUGACGAGUCCCAAAUAGAACGAAACACGCGUCAAACUGGAU